AAAGAGAUUAAAAUCUUUGAAUCGGUUCCUGUGUUUGUUUAGCCCUCCAUGCACUUUCCAUUCGGCACCCUCUCCUGAAGACACGCACUCUGUCUGACGGGAGCAAGAAGGCCAAAGGGAAAGCCAUGAGAUGCGCGGAGUUUAUCCAGCCGGUAAAGGAGAGGCCAUGGACAGACUCUGCAGUGGCCCGGAGAAUGGUGACCACAGCCCUGGGGCUGCGGAGAGGUGGAGCGCUCUCACAACAUUUCUGACCGCUACAGCAGGUGAGAUGACAUUUCAACGUAGGCACAGAGAUGCAAAGUAAACCACAGAAUCGGGACGACUAAACUGUGUUAUCGGGUCUCGGCAAGAUAUUUUGUUCACAUUGUUGCUCAUCAUCACAUCAUAUUGCUGAGUCUCUGUUUAGGAAAUCAAGAACAUGUCAUGGUUUGCUUGUUUAUUUUUAUUAGAGAAAAUAUGAAGCAAGCACAAAAUGCUUUAAAACAUUCAACUGUGUAUACAGUAUAGGAUAAUCACCCAUCUAGUAAAGAGCACCCUUGUAAAAUAAAGGGCCCUGUAGUUGAAGUGUCACAAAAAUAGAAUGCAAAGAUGCAUUUUCACAUGUCAUUUGUGACUUGUACAAUUGAGAAAACAAACAUAAGAGUCCCUGACGGUAAUAAUUUAAUUUAAUGGAUGUUUGAAAAAUGAACUAAGCUGAGCAGAAUAUGGUGAUAAGACUAAAAUGUAUAUGUAUCUUAGAAUCCUAAGAUGAAAGUUAUUAAAUAUAUUGCCAGAGUUGAUAUUAGGUGAAGCAAGAUACACUGUUAACUUGAGGCAGAAUCCCAACACAAAUUACAUGAAUAACUAACUCCCUCUCACCUAAAUCAUGCUGUUUGUCGCCAAUUUGGACAAAAGUUUGUGUACAUUUUAACUUGGGGAUUCUGCCUUAAAUGCUCAUUGCCUCUUUAGAGACGUAAAAAUGCAGGUUUGAUCAGAGGGGGGGGAAGUUUCUCCUUAGUGGUAGCUGUAUGGUUGUAAUAAUACUGCCAUAUCCUUAGUGAUUACCGUACAGCAAGAAAACAAUCAGUCCUUCCUUAUUUUAUAUUCACAAUGGCUUCUACCACAUUAUCACGCCACAGACUCGCUAGUAAUAUUCUCCGUGGAUGUAAGACUAUUCUGCUACUUUCCCCACCCCCACUUCAUAGGCACGUGCACUGGUGGCCCAUGUGUCUGUCAUCCAUGUCUAUUUAUUUAUUUAUUUAGUUAUUUAUUGAAUAAAUAGUUUUGACAGUAACCCUCCAACAAGUCUAAUGCUUCUUAGGUAGUUCUAUGAGUUUUAGUUUAGAAAACAAUCUCCGCAGAAGCGACAGUUACAGGGAUGGUAAAAAUAAAUCUUGAUUGUCGUGGCGACAUCAGGGGAAACUGGGCAGAAGGCAGUUGUUACAGAACUGCUGUAUUUGAAGCUCUGGGAUAGUGGUGAGCGAUUAGUGAUUUUGGAGGUCUGUUCGGUUUCGGUUAAAUUAUUUCAAAAAAAUAAUCACAGUUUUGCUAAUUUAAAAAAAAACAUUCAAUG